AUUAAAAAACACACAUUUAGGCCGUGAAGCACCAUUAAGCUGAUAUUCGAAGCAUUUCCCUUUUGGCAAUUCACUUCUCUUGAGCAAUCCUGUAUUCCAAACACAAUUUGUUGCCACAGAGAGAGAGAGAGAGAGAGAGAGGCUAUGGCAGACGUACUUCUUUCUGCCCUGAUGAGCUCCAUGGUGGGUAAUUUGAAUGCUAGUGCACUUCAAGAAUUCGGAGUUGCUUGGGGACUAAGUACUGAGCUCGAAAAACUUGAGAGCACGCUCUCCACCAUCCAGGCGGUUCUCCACGAUGCAGAGGAGAAGCAGUGGAGGAGUGAGGCUAUCAGGAAUUGGCUGCGAAAGCUCAAAGAUGGAGCUUAUGAUGCGGAUGAUGUUCUAGAUGAGUUUGCAACUGAAGCUCUAAGCCGAAAGGUGGAAAGAGAGAGAGGUGUGAAAAGCCAAGUAAGUAGCUUAUUUUCUGUUCGAAAUAGACUUAUAUUUCGCAUGAAGAUGGCACAUAAAUUGAAAAAUGUGAGGGAGAGAUUGGAAGCCAUUUCCAUGGAGAGAUCAAAGUUUCAUUUGAGAGAGGGAGUUAUAAAUAUGGAAGUUCUUGAUAUAGAAAGGCGACAAACUAGCUCAAUUGUGAAUGAAAGUGAGAUUUAUGGAAGAGGGGGAGAGAAAGAAAAGAUAAUUGAAGUGUUGCUCACUGAUGUGUCUAAUCAAGAUAAUCUUGCCAUUUAUGCUGUAUGGGGUAUGGGGGGCGUGGGAAAAACAACACUUGCACAGUUAGUUUACAAUGAUGCACGGGUGGAGAGGCAUUUUGAGAUGAGAAUUUGGGUUUGUGUAUCAGAUGAUUUCCAUAUAAGAAGGUUGGUGGGAGCGAUCAUAGAGUCCAUUGAUGGAAAUGCAUGUAGUCUUUCAGAGUUGGAUUCACAACAGCAACACCUACAAAAAAAAUUGCGUGGGAGGAGAUUUUUACUUGUUUUGGAUGAUGUCUGGAAUGAGUACCAUGACAAAUGGGAUGGCCUAAAAGCUGCACUGAGGUGUGGGGCGAAAGGGAGUAUGGUUAUAGUGACAACUCGGAUUGAAAAAGUUGCACUUAUGAUGGCCACACUUCCAAUACAUCACAUGGGAUGUUUGUCAGAGGCUGAUUCUUGGUCCUUGUUCAAGGGACGUGCAUUGCGGAUGGGAAGGGUAGAGGAGAACUCAGAAUUGGAAUCAAUUGGCAAGGAAAUAGUGAAGAAGUGUGGAGGGAUACCUCUAGCAAUAAAGGCUCUUGGAAGCCUCAUGAGCUUAAAAAGUAGGAAGAGUGAGUGGUCAUUUGUGAAAGAAAGUGAAAUUUGGGAUUUGCUAGAAGGUGAAAAUUCCAUCUUACCUGCCCUAAGGUUGAGUUAUCACCAUUUACCCCCAUAUUUGAAACAAUGUUUUGCUUACUGUUGUGUAUUCCCCAAAGAUCAUUCGCUUGAGAUGGACACAUUGAUACAAUUGUGGUUGGCUAAUGGUUUUAUUCCCCCCAAAGGACUAUUAAAUUUGCAUGAUGUUGGCCAUGAUAUCUUCAAUGAAUUAGUUUGGAGAUCAUUCUUUCAAGAUGUCAAGGAGGAUGUUCUUGGCAAUAUAACAUGUAAAAUGCAUGAUCUUAUGCAUGACCUUGCUCAAUUUAUUAUGAUGCUUGAAUGCUCUACAGUGGAAUCGGGUAAAGAAAUGAAAGUUUCAAAAAGGAUUCGUCACUUGUCUUUUACCAUGAGCUCAGAAGUGAUUCCUUGGACUAAGGACUUAUACAAAGUUCAAUCUCUACGCUCAUGCAUCCAGACAACACCUGAUUAUUACGGUCAUCAUAAAUCUUUUUUGCCCUUGUUAUUGAAGCAAAAGUAUCUUCGGGUAUGCGAUUUUAGAUAUGCUGUUAAGGGAGUACCAAGGUCCAUCAUCAAUAAUUUAAAACAUUUGAGGUAUCUCGACAUGUCUCAUUCUAGAAUCAAAAUUUUACCUGAAUCAACAACUUGCCUUUUGAACCUAGAAGUGCUGAAACUAGAUUACUGUUAUUUUCUUUUAGAGUUACCCAAUGGUAUGAAGCACAUGAAAAAUCUUACAUAUCUAGGCCUCACUGGCUGUUCUUCCCUAACUCGUAUGCCCAAGGAAAUGGGACAACUAACUUGUCUCCGUUCAUUGAGCCUUUUCAUUGCUGGCAAGGAUGAUGGUUAUCAAAUAAAUGAGCUGAAAUGGCUUAAUCUUCGGGGUGUGUUGUGCUUAAAGGAGCUUGAUAAUGUAACAAAUUUAAUGGAUGCAAAAAAUGCCAAUUUGAUUGGGAAAGAAAAUCUUCACUCAGUGAGUUUGGUUUGGCGAGGAGAAGACGAGAGCAAUACACCAGCACAUGUAGAAGAUGUUCUUGACGGUCUCCAACCUCAUUCAAAUCUGAAAAAGUUGCGCAUAGAAACAUACGGUGGUUCAAAGUUUCCAACAUGGAUGGAAGAUUCACUUCUUCAAAAUCUGGUUGAAAUUUCACUACAAUAUUGUGAAAGAUGUGAACAUCUUCCACCUCUAGGGAAACUAUCCUUCCUUAAGGAUCUUUUUAUAAGUGGCAUGGCUGCUGUGAAGUAUCUUGGCAAUGAGUUCUAUGGGGACACUGUAAUUUCAUUCCCAUCAUUGGAGAGAUUGGAGUUAUGUGGUAUGGAUAAUUUGGAGGAAUGGAGAACAGUGCAUGGAAGAGAAAUUUUUCCCCGCCUAAGCACAUUAAAAAUCAAUUACUGCCCAAAGUUAGUUGAAUUGCCUUUUAUUCCUUCGAUUACAAGUUUGGAAAUGGGAAGAAACAAUGCAAUGUUAAUUAGGUCAGUAAUGAAUCUCACUUCACUUUCUUCCCUUCAGUUUUCUGGAUGCCAGGAUUCAACAGUUCUUCCAGAUAAUCUGUUGCAUAAUCAUAAAAUGCUUACAUCCUUAGAAAUAAAUGGACUACGCAAUCACAAGUCACUAAGAAUUGGGUUGGAAAAUCUUUCAGCAUUGAAAAGACUGAAUCUUUAUUUUUGCUACGAUCUCGAAACUCUUCCUGGAGUCCAAAACCUACGUUCUUUGGAACACCUACAUAUAACGGACGGUAAAAGUCUUAUGUUCUUUCCUAAUAACGUUUUGUUGGGCUUAUCUUCACUUCGGACCUUGACUAUAUCCAAUUGUGAGAAAUUCUGCACUUCGUUGGAGGGAAUUCAAUAUUUAACUACACUUGAAGAAUUAAUUUUUUCGCGAUGUAAUGAGCUAAUAUCACUACCAGAGAGUAUUCAACAUCUAACUGCUCUGCGUUUGUUGGGAUUUUCCUAUUGUAAAGGAUUAUCUUCUCUGCCAAAACAGAUGGGAUCCCUCACGUCACUUUCAGGUUUGGGAAUUUCGUACUGUCCUAAUCUAACGUCUUUACCGGAGGGGUUGCAGAAACUUACUGCACUCAAGAGUCUGGAAAUUGGAGGUUGUCCAAAUUUAGAGAGGCGGUGCAAGAAACAUAGUGGCAAGGAUUGGCAUAAAAUUGCUCACAUUCCCAACAUUCAAAUCUAUCCUGGGAUUCAUGGGGGAUGCUUCGGAAACUGAAGUUUUGCUAAAUUGGUAAGGUUUGAGAGCAGAGCACAGAACCAUUUCACAGCGAUAGUAUUGGCAAUGUCCUGCGGGGAACUCUUUGUCCAAAUUAAUUCAUGAGGUCCCUGAAGGGCUUGUAGAUGAGUCAGGGAUUCCAUUAAACGAGGGGAAUAUUUACAUUGCAAAGACAAGCCCCCACAGUGUGCUUACAGGCGUUCAUAAAUCUUUUUGAGGGGACUUCACAUUAUUUCUGAGAUUGCAUACACAAGAGAUGGUCUCUAGUGGUCAUAUGGUCCUUACUAUCAUCGGCAGUGACAGGAAAGCUGAUUCUUCUGGCAACCAGAGUUGCACCAUCUGGGAGUUACUAGGAAUCACAUUAAAUGACAUGGUCCAAGAGAUACAGAACCCACUUUACCUCCUCUUUCCCCCUGCAGAAACACAUGGGAAAUAUAGAAGAGGCAAAAUUGGACAGGUUCAAUCUGCCGUAUUAUGCCCCUACUGCAGAAGAAGUCAGGGAUGUGUUUCAAACAGAAUGGUUCCUUUAACAUUCAUGAAUUUGAAACGUUUGAAGUGGACCGGGAUUGUAACAUGGAUGAAAGUAACAAAUGCUUUAGGUAUGAUAAACCCACUAGAGGCAAGUGCGAGGCAAUGAGCAUAAGGGUAGUUGUGGAAUUCAUUCUGGCAUUUUAUUUUGGAGGAGAGAUCAAGGAUGAUUUGUUUGAAAUAUUUUCCAAGAACGUAGAAGAGUACUUGGAGGUUGAGGAGGGGAAGUACACAAAUAUGAUUAUUUCCAUGACUAAGGAUGAAUAUUUCUAAGCUCUUCCCAGAAGAAUGUUAUACUGUCAAAAAGCUCUUCCAGAUAAUCUGUUGCAAAAUUAUAAAAUGCUUACAUCCUUACAAAUAUUUGGACUACGCAAUCACAAGUCACUAAGAAUUGGACUACGCUGUGGACCGGACCAGGACCUCCGUGGUGAAAUAAAAUAAAAGAAACCCAACAACAACAACAAGACCUGCGAGAGCUGAGGACAAAAUUAAGCACAACAACAACAACAACAAGAGAAGAGUAAGAAAAACUAUGGUAUUUGAUGUUUUUGAUUCUUACUUUUGUUUAAGGACUUGAUGUUUUUCUGCAAUGUACUUCUAAUCUCAAAUCUUUUGGUGGGUGGGGUUUGAUUUUUUUGAUUCUGGGUUUUAAAGUUGUAGUUUGGCUUUGAUUUUUGGGAUUUUUCUACAUGAGAUUAUUAAUCCUGCGGUUUUACCAAAAUUUUAAAGUUUUAGCAGCAUUAAUAUUAAAGCAGCAUAAAUGGUUUGAACUAAUAGCCAAGAAGACGCUGGAAAAAUAAAUAUAUAUAUCCGUCAACUUUUCUUCUCUUGUAACACUUGUUGGCAGUCAUUUUGAGCACGGCAUGGCAGUCAUUUUUCCCUCUCUUAAUCUCCACAAAACCCACCAACAAUAAUGGGCCCCCUUCGUUGUUAAAAUUGGGCUUCGGCCACUCUAAAUUCUCGAACCCAAAAUGUCAUAACCAGAGACGAAACUCACACUGUGCUUUCUCACUUGCUUUGAUUUUUCCCAUUUCCCAAAACCCAAAAAAUAAACCUCAGCGAUCAGCCACUCUCACUCUCACUCUCACACUGAAAAGAGAGAAAUG